CCCCUCUCAGGGUCACACCUGGAGAGUUUCCAGUGCUCUACCAGUCUCGACUACAGGAGGGACAGUCAAGCAGAGACAUAUUCAUUCCAUUCCUAGCUUGGGCAGUAGCUAGCGAGUGGAAUGCAAUGUGCUACAAAC
rnacentral:snoRNA from 1 species